GGCUACCUGGCGCAAUGGUAGCGCGUUUGGCUUCGAUCGCCGACGGCUACAAUGUGACUUCCACAGAACGUCACGGUCACACCAAAAGGUUGCAGGUUCGAGUCCUGCGGUGGUCA